AGAGGCUACUGCCAUCAGAGUUCGAUUAAGCCAUGUUAGUCGAGGGUGCUUCUUCUUCGGAAGAAGUAACCCGGCGGACGGCUCAGUAACACGUGGAUAACUUGCCCUUGGGUCUGGGAUAACCCCUGAGAAAUUGGGGACAAUACCGGAUAGGGCAUCGAUAGCUGGAAUGCGCGAUGUCCAAAAGCUGAGGCGCCCAAGGAUAGGUCUGCGGCCGAUUAGGUUGUUGUUGAUGUAAUGGAUCAACAAGCCUGCAAUCGGUACGGGUUGUGAGAGCAAGAGCCCGGAGAUGGGUUCUGAGAAAAGAACCCAGGUCCUACGGGACGCAUCAGGCGCGAAAACUUUACAAUGUGCGAAAGCACGAUAAGGGAACUCUGAGUGCCUCCUAUGGAGGCUGUUCAGGUGUCUAAAAAGCACUUGAAGUAAGGGCUGGGUAAGACCGGUGCCAGCCGCCGCGGUAACACCGGCAGCCCAAGUGGUAGCCACGAUUAUUGGGUCUAAAGCGUCCGUAGCCGGCCAGGUAAGUUCUUUGGGAAAUUUAACCGCUCAACGGUUAAGCUUUCAGGGAAUACUGCUUGGCUUGGGACCGGGAGAGGUCAGAGGUACUUCAAGGGUAGGGGUGAAAUCCGUUAAUCCUUGAGGGACCACCAGUAGCGAAGGCGUCUGACCAGACCGGGUCCGACGGUGAGGGACGAANGCUAGGGUCGCGAACCGGAUUAGAUACCCGGGUAGUCCUAGCUGUAAACGAUGCGGGCCAGGUGUUGGCAUUACUGCGAGUGAUGUCAGUGCCGAANGGGAAGCCGUUAAGCCCGCCAUCUGGGGAGUACGGUCG
rnacentral:rRNA from 1 species